rnacentral:rRNA from 1 species
GACGAACGCUGGCGGCGUGCCUAAUACAUGCCAGUCGAACGCUUCUUUCCUCCCGAGUGCUUGCACUCAAUUGGAAAGAGGAGUGGCGGACGGGUGAGUAACACGUGGGUAACCUACCCAUCAGAGGGGGAUAACACUUGGAAACAGGUGCUAAUACCGCAUAACAGUUUAUGCCGCAUGGCAUAAGAGUGAAAGGCGCUUUCGGGUGUCGCUGAUGGAUGGACCCGCGGUGCAUUAGCUAGUUGGUGAGGUAACGGCUCACCAAGGCCACGAUGCAUAGCCGACCUGAGAGGGUGAUCGGCCACACUGGGACUGAGACACGGCCCAGACUCCUACGGGAGGCAGCAGUAGGGAAUCUUCGGCAAUGGACGAAAGUCUGACCGAGCAACGCCGCGUGAGUGAAGAAGGUUUACGGAUCGUAAAACUCUGUUGUUAGAGAAGAACAAGGACGUUAGUAACUGAACGUCCCCUGACGGUAUCUAACCAGAAAGCCACGGCUAACUACGUG